CUCACAGACUUGCAGUGAGAAGCAAAGCUAUUCCAAUUAAAAAUUAGGCUUCAACAAGUCAAGCUCCAGCCAAUCCAGAAACAUAUAGUGGCAACGCACAGGAGGUCUGAAAGUAGAUUGUCUGGGUUCAAAGAUGAUCUCUGCCAAUUGCCAGAUGUGUGAUCUUGGAUUUUUUAGCCUGCCACUCUUGAGCAGAGUACUGCCAUCCAAUUUGACUGCCCAACCUCUCCACCACCUGUGAAACACAAAUAACAGCAUUUCCUUUUCCAGGUGAGACUCAUCUUAGACCCAGUCAACCUGAGCUGAGAAAGACAAAGAAUAGGAAUAGCGGAAGAAAUUUACAUGGCUAAAGAGGACCAACGAUGAAAUUACUUUUAAAAGAACAGAGAAUGCUGGGAGCAGUGGCUCACACCUGUAAUCCCAGCACUUUGGGAGGCCAAGGCGGACGGAUCACGAG